rnacentral:rRNA from 1 species
UACGAAGGGUGCAAACGUUGCUCGGAAUUAUUGGGCGUAAAGCGCACGUAGGCGGCUUUGCAAGCUCGGAUGUGAAAUCCCUCGGCUUAACCAAGGAAGUGCACUCGAAACUGCAGAGCUUGAGUACUUAAGAGGAUCGCGGAAUUCCCGGUGUAGAGGUGAAAUUCGUAGAUAUCGGGAGGAACACCAGUGGCGAAGGCGGCGUCUGGGAAGAUACUGACGCUGAGGUGCGAAAGCGUGGGGAGCAAACAGG